GUGUAACAUGAUUGGUGAUAUGUCCACUCUAGUGUCAUUGACAGAUUUGCUGGCCUACUUGUAUGUUGGGCUUGAUUUCUCAGGCUUCCGGCUAUAAUAUGUCCUAGCCUUGUUGCUUUUCUUCACAAGGUAUCUUUAACAGGUGAAAAGAUGUGCGGAGAUGUCAAGAAAGCUGCGAUUUUUCAAAGAUCAGAUUCAUAAAGCUGGCCUGCUGCCAUCUCCACAUCCUGCUUCACAACCAGAUAUUGAAUUAGAAGAAUUGGAGGUUCCAUUUUGUCGUAGUUACCCCAGUCAACUUACAGAUACUUAGUUUAUUUAUUUUAUUUUAUUUUAUUUUUUUGCUUAACACUUGGCUUUUCUAAUAUAUUCAUGUCAGUGCUACUGUUGUUUUACUUUUUCUAGAUGCAACUCGCAGAGCAUGAACAUGAGCUAAUUGAAAUGAAUAGCAACACUGAGAAAUUGCAGCAAACUUAUAAUGAGUUGCUAGAGUUCAAAAUGGUGUUGCAAAAGGUAUACUGAUUUUUUUAUUUGCAGAUAGUUCAACUUUGGCUAUCAUAUGCUGGCUAACACGUGUGUUACAUUGUACUCAUGUUAAAUAAUUUUGCCCAUCAGUGCUAUUCAAACUGUAGUUUGCUUGAAAAAGUUAUAGAUGAAAGCUUUAUAUCAAGAUAAUCUGGUUAUUUAUUCUCUGCAAAGCUAAAAUAGUAGGCCUCAUGACACUUACCUAUGCAUGGGGUAAGGUUCUUAUGUGGGCGUGACCCUUGCAAUAUCAUUAUAUUUUCUGAAAUGUAUUGAGAGUCUAGUUGACCUGGAUUAUGAUAAUCUUUCUUUCCUUAUUACAACUAUACUAUUAAGUUCCAUGUGGAAUUAUUCUAGUUGUAGAAGUAUAUGUAUUUAAUUUCUUGAAUUUUCUUCAUUCUGAUGUAAUACAAAUUUGGUCCAUUGGGAGCAAUAAUCUGAUGUUUCUAUUGUUUAAUGGUGCAAUUUAGGCCAGUGACUUUCUUGUCUCAAGUAGGAGUAACUCAACUGUGCAAGAAAGAGAAAUGGUUGAGAAUGUGUAUUCGAAUGAUCAUUAUGCUGACACAGCUUCACUGCUUGAGCAGGUGACUGAUUUUAAAUGCUUUCAAAUACUAUCCUAUAGGAAAACCCAUGUUGACAGUUAUGUUGAUUAGUUUUCUAUUUGGAUUUGUCAGGAGAUGCAACCUGGUCCCUCAGUUCAAUCUGGCGUGCGAUUUGUUAGUGGUAUUAUUUGUAAAUCCAAAGUUCUCACAUUUGAGAGGAUGCUAUUUCGGGCUACAAGGGGCAAUAUGUUUUUCAAUCAGGCUGCUGCGGAUGAUCAAAUUUUGGAUCCUUCGUCAAAUGAAAUGGUCAAGCCUUAUUUCCUUUGUAUCCUUUGAACUUUGUGUCGUCUAAUUAACUAGAGGUGGGAAAUAGGAAGGAAAAGUACCAACUGAAUGCAGUAGCUAUUGUAGUAAAAAAAUUUUUCUCUGUUUCCUACAUGGCAUUGAUUGUGGUUUUUGGUUUGAAGAUCUAUGCCUUUCUUUCUGUCUUCUUCCAUUCCUACUUGGUGGAAUCACUACUAACAGUUGCGAUUGAAUGAGUUUUUAAUUUGUUUUUGCUUCCUUGCUUUUGCAGGUUGAGAAAACAGUAUUUGUAGUGUUCUUCUCAGGCGAGCAAGCAAGAACAAAAAUAUUAAAAAUAUGUGAAGCAUUUGGGGCCAAUUGCUACCCUGUCCCAGAAGAUGUAACAAAAAGGAUGCAGAUAACACGAGAAGUAUGUCUUGAAAUUGAUCAUUUAUGUAUUCUCUGACUUGUAAUGAGAAUGAAUUAGAUAUUGUCACUUAAGUUGACUUUUGUCUAGCUUAUGUGAGUUUUACCUUUUACAUAACUAGGAAACUGUGGCAAUUGUUUUUCUUUUCUGAUGCGCAAUGCAUACUUCUCGUCUUCGUAUGCAUUGUCCUGAUUUUUUACCAAAAUUUUCUUAAAAUAUAUCUAAAAUGAAAAACCGCUGUUAUUUAGUUUGUAAGGUUGGUGCAAGGUGGACUAUUAUUGAUGUAGGCUUAAAUAUGUAAGUGACCAUUUCCCCAAGAAGUGAGCAGUUCUUUAGAAUAAACGGUUUAUGUUCUGGCUUUGAUUUCAUUCUUCUUUGCUACAAUGGCUUUACCAUCCAGUAUAUGGAUUAGUUGCAGUCCUUGUGUAAGUUACAGCAAUAGCAAUCGCAUGAUUGCCUAAUGUUUUGCAGGUUUCAUCUCGUCUAUCUGAAUUAGAAACCACCUUGGAUGCUGGAACACGUCAUCGGGACAAGGCUUUGACCUCAAUUGGUUUCCAGCUUGCGAAAUGGAUGAAUAUGGUAAAUUUGUUAUAUCAAUUACUGCUACACUUUUGGAGCUUGGUUGUUCACGAUUGGUUCAGUGAUGCUAUUUUUACACGAUUGCUGAGUUAAGGUUUUCUAAUAUUUCUUCUCUAGGUUGGAAGGGAAAAAGCUGUGUAUGACACUUUAAAUAUGUUGAAUUUUGAUGUUACGAAGAAGUGUCUGGUUGGUGAAGGAUGGUGCCCAAUAUUUGCAAAGGCAAAGGUGCUUUGCUAUAAUUUCUACUUGUUCUUGCCAUUGUAAGAAUUUGUCACUUGCUACGAUAUUUCUCAUAUUAAUUCCAUGAGGGAACCUUUUCUUUUUGGUUGGGGUAAUAGAUACAAGAGGCUUUGCAACGAGCAACAUUUGACAGCAAUUCACAAGUUGGCAUUAUAUUUCAUGUGAUGGAUGCUGUGGAACCACCUCCAACAUAUUUCAGAACCAAUCGUUUCACAAGUGCAUUUCAAGAAAUUGUUGAUGCAUACGGGUAAGAUGCAAUACAGAUGUAAUUAUUGAGCUUUAAUUCCUUCCCCCAUCCCACCUGUUCUUUGUCUAUGCAGAUUGUGACAAGGAUUAGAGGAUUUCUGCAUCCAAAGCUCUUCCCUCUCCCUCUUUUUCUGUCUUUAUUUUUUUGUCUGGUUGGGUCAUAUAUGUAUAUAAACCAGCACAUGACACAGAGCACUGGUGGGAGAAGUUUUGUCUGGUUGGUAUAUAAUAUAUGAAUGCAUACAAAGCUGAUAGAGUGCUAACAAGUAAUCUGUUUUGGACAGUGUUGCUAACUAUCAGGAGGCAAAUCCUGCUGUUUAUACCGUUGUUACAUUUCCUUUUCUUUUUGCUGUGAUGUUUGGUGAUUGGGGUCAUGGAAUAUGUUUGCUGUUGGGAGCAUUAGUUCUCAUAGCCCGCGAAAGAAAGCUAGGUUCUCAGGUAUCUUAUCUCUUCUUGAUCUUUUUCUCUUCAUGAUAGAUCAUUAGCUGUUAACUAAGCCAAAUUCUUGUUUGCUUUAUAUUUUGAGAACUUUGACUACUCAUAUACCCUGAUUAAAUCAGUUUUCUUAUUCUAGAGAUGCUAUAGAGGGUGGUUACUAGAAGAAGCUGUUUUUAUCGGCUGUUGCACUGUUAAAGAAGAAAUAAAAUUUGAAGGAAAAAUUACAAACAGAAGCUAAUUCUGUUCUGAUCAUAAGUGUUAGUAAAGAAUGCUGAACUUGUUGAAAAAGCAGCAGAAACUUCUUGUUAAAUUGAGAGUUAAAUGCGUUUUAAUUUUCUUGAUCAUGAUCAGUGGCUGAACUUUCCUGAAAUCUAAUGUUGCAUUUGUAAUCUUAUAUACAUUAUUAUUUACAUGCAACUUUUAUGUUCUCAUCAUAGUUUUUGUUUCCCAUCAGAAACUUGGUAGCUUUAUGGAGAUGCUGUUUGGUGGCCGCUAUGUCCUCCUGUUGAUGUCAAUAUUUUCUAUAUACUGUGGGUUGAUCUACAAUGAAUUUUUUUCUGUUCCUUUUCACAUUUUUGGGGAGUCUGCCUACAAAUGCCGAGAUUCUUCCUGCAGGUAGAUAUGCUUGCUGUAGUCUUAAGUUGAUGAAAAGUAAUUUGUUUGUUCCAGCUUGGUGAUCCAUAAGAUUUCUACAUAUGUUCAACAUGCAGAAAUCCCAUAGAUCAACAAGUUGGAACAAACAAAUUACUUUUCAGCAUGUUGUAUGUUUUUGAUUAAUUUUCCUUUGUAUUGACAUUAUUUAUCUGCCUUGGCAGUGAUGCCCGUUCAAUAGGUUUAAUAAAAUCUCGGGAUCCUUAUCCAUUUGGAGUGGAUCCAAGCUGGAGAGGAAGUCGCACAGAACUGCCUUUCUUAAACUCUCUUAAGAUGAAGUUGUCAAUUUUGUUGGGUGUGGUCCAGAUGAAUCUAGGAAUUAUAUUAAGUUACUUCAAUGCACGCUUUUUGGAAAUUCACUUGAUAUCAAGUAUGUAAUCUUUCCACAUCGUUUCUAUUAUUUGUUCUGCACUGUUUAAUAACAGGUAAAAGAGCUUAUUUCGUGCUUUUAGGUACCAGUUUGUGCCACAUAUGAUCUUGCUUAAUUCCCUCUUUGGGUAAAAGAGCUUAUUUUGUGUUUUUAGGUACCAGUUUGUGCCACAGAUGAUCUUCCUUAAUUGCCUCUUUGGGUAUCUGUCUCUUCUGAUUGUUAUCAAAUGGUGCUCUGGUUCUCAAGCCGACCUCUAUCAUGUAAUGAUUUACAUGUUCUUGAGUCCUUUUGAGGAUCUUGGUGAGAACAAGUUGUUCUGGGCGCAGGGUGUACUUCAGGCACAAUCUCUAAUUUUCUCUAUAGUUGAUUAUUUUAUUAUUAAAUACCACUGUUUUCCAUCUUUGUUAAUCAAAUUUUAAUUUUGCAGGUCAUAUUAUUGCUUUGUGCUGUAGUUGCUGUUCCUUGGAUGCUGUUUCCCAAGCCUUUUAUUUUGAAAAGACUUCACACUGAGGUACUAUGUCUGCUUAACCUUUGUGAGAGAAGAGAGAGUAGAGGUCCUUGCAUUUAAGUUUCUGUGGCCAUGUUGAAAUUUUUGUUUCUGGUAUUCUCCUUCCACAUGCUCAUUCUCUGAAAACCAAGUAAAAGGGCUUCACAUUUCCAUGCAAAGAUUAGAUGGUCUAUAAUGUUCCUUAAUUAUUUGUUAUUAAAUGGUCUAAAAUAAUACUUAGAUAUUUGUUUCAGAUUGUAUCUCAGAUCUGUUCUGGCAAGAGUCUCUCUCUCUCUCUAUCUCGUAGUCUUAAUAUGUAUUCUUGCUUUGCAUUCUUAGAGAUUUCAAGGCCGCACAUAUGGGUUACUUGGAACCUCUGAUAUGAACAUUGAUGAUGAACCUGACUCCGCGAGGCAACACCAAGAAGAUUUUAAUUUUAGUGAGGAAUUCGUGCAUCAGAUGAUACACUCUAUUGAGUUUGUACUUGGUGCAGUUUCGAAUACUGCAUCAUACCUUAGGCUAUGGGCCCUGAGGUAUAUUUGCUUUUCGAUUGAUAUAUUGAGAUAUCUAUACUGUGCUCAUUUUAAGAUUUUCAUUUGCUGGUACUGUUAACAGUUUGGCUCACUCCGAGUUGUCAACUGUUUUCUAUGAGAAAGUUCUGCUUCUUGCCUGGGGGUAAGUUUUUACAACCAAUUUAAUGAGACUUAUUUCUUUAGAUGUGUACUGAACAAAGUUACUGCUUAGUAACUGCUUUAUUUAAAUUUUCUUUGUAUAGAUCAGAGGUUGAAAUGAAACUUUUAGUUACAUGUCUACCUGUUGAUAUAUAUAUAUAUAUUUUCAUGUUGACUUGCACUUAAGAGUUUAAUCUCCUUUCUGUUAUCUGCAGGAUAUAAAUCUUCUAUGUGAUUGACAUAUAUCCAACCUGUUUGAUUUCUUGAAUCAUGCAUGUUGCAGGUAUGAAAAUAUCAUCAUACGAUUGGUGGGACUAGCAGUUUUUGCUUUUGCUACAGCAUUUAUAUUGCUCAUGAUGGAGACCCUUAGUGCUUUCCUUCACGCUUUGCGUCUCCACUGGGUAGAAUUCCAGAACAAGUUUUAUCAUGGUGACGGGUAUAAGUUCAGGCCGUUCUCCUUUGCCUCGUUAACUGACGAUGACGACUAGGAUGUCAAUUUUGCACCAAUAUUUGUUGAAUGAUUUCGGAAAGAAGCAAUGCAAGGAAGAGUUGUGCCUUAAAUCUCACUUUACAAGCGUGGAUUAAUUGGGAUGGCUAGAACUACGCACUUCUUUGCUCUAACAUGAUGCUGCUUGGAUUAACCGAAAAUUGUAAAAUCUUGGUUCAGAACCUUUAGGCAUAAUUGGUGUAAAGGAGUCAGCUCAAGGUGCUUGUAAGGCUGUUGGGCUAAAGAUUUUGUAAUUUUGUCUCCGUAGAUUCUUUGCUCUUCUCUAGAUGUUCCAGAUAUAGAGAGAGGUGUUAGAAAUACCAAAGCUCGGAUCCUGUACACUGGAUAUCCAUGGUGAUAAUUCCUUGUGGAGGCAAAGAUCCAGAAUCUCCUUAUACAAUUACACACACAAACAUAGAGAGAGAGAUUGUACCUGGUGCCGUGGAUUUUUGCAGGCCACCCGUCUAUUCUUUUUGUAAUGAUGUAGCAUGUUCUUACAGCACUUGAAAAAGAUGCUUGUGCUAUAGAAAGUCGGAUUGCACGUUCUUAAUGGUAGAUAGAUAUCCGUCACUCAUGCUUUAUACCAAUACUAUCUUUGAAUGGAUCCGUACUC
rnacentral:lncRNA from 1 species